rnacentral:lncRNA from 1 species
AUAUUUACCGAGCUCUGCCCUUCACUGAAAUAACAAGUUAGUGAGUGGGUAAAGGAAUGAGUAGAACUGCAAUGUCUGAGCUGGAAGGCUCCAGGACGGCUGUGUGAUUUGAAGAAGGGGCUUUCUGCACCUCACGGGGGCCAUUAGCUGUGGCAGAGGCCAUGCGGGGACCCAGCCUCUUCGCCCCCUGCCUGGCAGCUGUGACCACGCUGGCUGCGUCUCCGCUCACUCACAGUCACUGUCACUGUGUGCCUCUCCUGGGCCUGCCCCAGGCUGAGCUCUUCUGAGGCGAACAGGAAAAGAGCCCAGGGUCCCUGCCCUGUCUCUCCUACAGGGACACGGGGAGGUGGCCUGGCAGAGCGCAUCUGGGCUUUGGGCCCUCCCGUCUUGCCUGCUGUGCUGCGCCAUCCCCUGGACUCGGGCCCAGCUCUCUCUGUCCCUUGGAGGGAGUGCCAGGGGCACAGGGCGGGCCGGGAGGAAGGGCCCUGGGCCGGGUCAUUUCCUGACACACUUGUUUGCCACAUGCUCCUUGCUUCUGGUGCUUCCUCCGGGAAGUCUUCCAGGAUGCCCACUUUCUUCUGACUCCUUGUCCCUGGACUCUGGGCUGCUUCCCAUGUCUGGCCUCAGUUUACCCCCUACAAGCCUGAGAGCCCACAUGAUUACCACCUCUUUGCAAAUAAAGGAAGGGAGGCUGAGAGAUGGAAAAUCAAGGCAGGAGCACGAGGGUAACUCGCCCAAGGUGAGAAGACAAGAGACAACUGGCACACACCUGGCACUCACCUGGUCCCCAGCCACGCUUCAUGCUCAGAAGCCGCCUGUAUGGAGAACUGACAUUGUCACAUUCCAGCCGGGAAAACGUCACCCAAACCAUGCCCCGCCUCUUCUGCCUUUCUUCUCCCUCAAGCUCCC